UACGUAGGGUGCGAGCGUUUAAUCGGAAUUACUGGGCGUAAAGGGCGCGUAGGCGGCCUUCUAAGUCGAACGUGAAACUCCCCGGGCGUCAACCCGGGAACUGCGUCCGAUACUGGAAGGCUUGAAUCCGGGAGAGGGAUGCGGAAUUCCAAGGUGUAGCGGUGAAAUGACGUAGAUAUCUGGAGGAACACCGGUGGCGAAGGCGGCACUCUGGGCCGGAACUGACGCUGAGGAGCGAAAGCGUGGGU
rnacentral:rRNA from 1 species